GAAAUGCGAUAAGUAGUGUGAAUUGCAGAUUUCAGUGAAUCAUCGAAUCUUUGAACGCACAUUGCGCCCUUUGGUAUUCCGAAGGGCAUGCCUGUCUGAGCGUCAAUAUGAGCAUCAAACCUUUGGUUUGGUAUUGGGAGAAGUGGUUUUUUUUUUACCUCUCUCCUUUAAGUUAUUGGCGAUGCUAUUUAGCUUGUAAAACGUAGUAGUAAUCACUCGUUUUUAAAACAACUAAUGGUGUUUGCCAAAUAAAUAAUUUAUUUUACAAAGCUUGACCUCAGAUCAGGUAGGGAUACCCCCUGAACUUAA
rnacentral:misc_RNA from 1 species